rnacentral:rRNA from 1 species
AAUAGAUACCCGGGUAGUCUUGGCCCUAAACUAUGAUCACUAGAUGUCGGGGGGUAACCUUCGGUGCCGCAGCUAACGCAUUAAGUGAUCCGCCUGGGGACUACGGCCGCAAGGUUGAAACUCAAAGGAAUUGGCGGGGCCCGCACAAGCGGUGGAGCAUAUGGCUUAAUUCGAUGCAACGCGAAGAACCUUACCAGGGCUUGACAUGUACCUGCAAUCUCCCGAAACGGAGCCGCUUUCGAAGGUGGUACACAGGUGGUGCAUGGCUGUCGUCAGCUCGUGUUGUGAAAUGUUGGGUUAAGUCCCGCAACGAGCGCAACCCUCACGUUUUGUUACCAGCGAGUAAAGUCGGGGACUCAAAAUGAACUGCCUCUGUAAAGAGGAGGAAGGUGGGGAUGACGUCAAGUCAUCAUGCCCCUUACGCCCUGGGCUGCACAUAUGCUACAAUGGCUGCUACAAAGGGUUGCCAACUCGCGAGAGUGAGCUAAUCCCAAAAAGGCAGUCUCAGUUCGGAUUGGAGU